ensembl:lncRNA
AGCCUAGUGGGCUGCCGUCUAUGGGGUUGCACAGAGUUGGACACGACUGAAGCGACUUGGCAGCAGCAGCAGCAGCAGCAGCAGCAGCUAUGUGACUAAAGACAAAUCACUUGCCCUUUCUGUUCCUUUAUUCAGCUUCAAAAUAAAGUUGUGCUUACUAGAUGGCAUCUUGGGCUCUCUCUGGCUCCCUGAUUAGGUGUACCUAAUCAUGCUGUAUCAUCAUACAGAUUUUUAUUUUUUUAUUUUGGCUCUGUCGAGUCUUAGUUGUAACACAGAGGAUCUUCAUCGAGGCAUGCAGGAUCUUUCUCUGAGAGAUGUGGGCUUCUCUCUAAUUGUGGCAUGGGGGCUUAUUUGCUCCAAGGCAUGUGGAAUCUUAUUUCCUUGAUCAGGUAUUGAACCCUUUUCUCCUCUUUGCAAGUGGAUUUUUAACCACUGGAUCACUAGGGAAGUCCCAUAUGGAAAUGUUUUGAUGCUGUUUUCCAACACAUCCAUUGGAUUUUAUCCAACUAGUUUUAUCAGUUAUCUUUCACUAACAUGAUUCAACAUUUAGGUGGAUUAGCUGCUUACGACAGCCACCGCCUGGAGCAUGGUAAUGCGCACGAUAGCACAUUGUGCUCAUUAGAGCCUUAAGGGCUGUGGGGUGUCCUGCAGAGGGAAAACAAAAAGAAUUUUGUUUUGUUUUUGUCCUGUUUUCCUAUGUUUUGGCCACUGAGUGAUAUGCUUCGCUGCACACCUGAUAGAUGUCUCAUGAUAUGGGGAGUGCUGAUGUCACACAUUGUCUUCUGGAGCAAGAAUUAAUGGAUGGGGGAUGCUCUUAAAGAAGCAGUGUUCCGACCCUCUGAGACGAGGAAAUGGAGCAGUUGAAAGUGGUGUGUGUGAGAGUGACCCAGGGUAUGGAAAGAGACAGCUGGAGGGUGAUCAGAAUGAGCAGACGUUUUGCAGUGGGCUGAAGGGGAAGGAGGGGCAAGUGGCUUCCUUUGAGAUGUGUGUUCUAAGACCCUCAGAGUUGCCUUCAUACUCUUCCUACCGCCCCCUGCUCCUGUGGAGCCACUGAAAGUUGGUUUCUGCACACCCGUCAGUCUGCACAUUCUGCUUGGCUUUGGAUCACUCUCAUUGGGUUAGUACAAUACCAGAUGGGAGUCCUACUAUUGCCUUGGCUCAGUAUCUCCUAUUGUGUACAGAAGAAGGAGGUUUGAUAGGGGAGCUUCAAUGGUUACAAAGUUCCUCUGAGGCUGGAUCUCCCCAUCCAGGGCCCAGCUCUGUGGUAUUUGAGGGAGUUCAGAUCAUUUUGAUCAUUUUCACCAAUGAAACUAGCUUUUUUGCUUUUUUCUGUACAUAAAUUUACAAAUAUUUAAAUGAUAAGACACUACUUAAAAUUUGAGGAAAAAAAGAAAGAGAGCUGACUUUUACUGCCUGAGAUAACCACUGUCAUCUUGAUGACCACCUACCGUUUGUUGUCUUAUAUAUAUCUAUAUUUGCAUAAAUGGGAUCAUAAUUUGUGGUAGGUAGAGCCCUCAAAGAUGUCCACAUCCUAAUCUCCAAAACCUGUGAAAUGUUAGGUUACAUGACAAAUGGAAAUGAAAGAAGCAGAUAGAACUAAGGUUAUUAAUCGGCUGACCUUAAAAUAGGAAGAUAAUUGUAAAUUAUUCAGAUGGGCCCAGUGUAGUCACCAGCAUCCUUCAAUGUGUCAGUGAAGGAUGAGCAGCAGAAGAGUCAGUGUCAAAGUGAUAUGAUGUGAAAAAGACUCCACGGAGUCAUUGCUGGCUUUGGAGAUAGAGAAGGGGGACACUAGCCAAGGAAUGUGGGUAGCCCCUAAAAAUUGGAAAAGCAUAUAAGUAAAAGUUAUUAUGCAAAAACAUUAUUAUACAAAAAGCAAAAGUUAUGAAAGAUACUUGCCUCCCUUCUUUGUCUCUACUUCCUCACCCCACAUAAACAAUUUUAAUGACCUGAUAUGUAUUUUUUGAUGCACUUUCACGCUUAUUCAGUCACACACACACAAAUGAUUUUUAAAUUAUUUUGUAAAAAUGGAAACACAAUUCCCAUUUAAGAGCAUCACACUUCUCAAAUGUUUUUUACAAUUAAAUGUGGCUUCAGGUGACACAAUUGGGACAGGAAUAAAUACAUUAUAGACAAAAUUGACAGGUGAUAGAGGAAUCUGAAUCCAAAAAAGUAAAUCAGAGAGCUUUCAGAUUUUCAGAGUCUUUCCCCCUUGAGUUUCUGAGGUUUCUUGCUGAAAUAGGAGUGAAAUUUAGGACAAAGUGAGGUACUUAUGCACUAUUAAGAGAGGAAAAACAGAUGCAGACAAGUAACAUGAAUUGCUUGAUUUGUCUCAUACAUUUAACAUUUAACAUAAGUUGAGGCCAGGAACUUAUACUAAAGACCCUUUUGCCCCACGGCAUACUCACUGAUAGGCUAGUAAUUUUCAGAGGUUGCAGGCCCACCUUUGGGCAGAAAUGCCCUGCAGGUGCUCGUGUAGUAAUCUUACUGUUCUACUGGGAUGGUGGUUCUGGCUGUUAUCUUUUUUGUCCCUUCCUGCUGGACAAGUCUUAGUCCUCCCCCUGGCAUAAGACUGGAUGGCAUUUUGAGUCAAGCUGUCUCUUGGAAGCUUAAGCUGUUAUGAGAGACUGGGGGUGGGUAUGGGAGUGGUUCAAUUGGCAUUCAGCUAAGUGGGAAAAUGAGGAACAGCUUGCCAGCUGCAAGGAGAGUGUUUGCGAAGUAUAUGAAAGAUAAAAGAAAAAUUGUGAAAAAGCGUGUGCGUGUUUGUAUAACUAUGUCCAUAUAGCCUUCAGUUUAUUUAUUUAAAAUGUUUUGUUCUUUAAUAAUCAGACUCUUCUGUCUUCUGAAUGUUUCUAAAACCCAUGCUCCCUUCCUUGAGAUCAUCCUCCCACCCAAGCCUAGAGAAGAGACAAGGCCAUGGACCCCCAAACCUUCCACAGAUGAGGUGGGACCCUGUGUGUGCUAGGAGGUGGAACAGGUGACCUCUUUCUCUCUGAGGCCUCCAUCAGGUAAUUUAAAACCUGUCAAUGUUUACAUUACCUCUGUGUCCAUGAAGGAUUCCUUGACGUUUUCCCAUUUAUGCACCUUAGGUGGGUAAUUUAAGCUAUUGUGUAGGUUGGUCCCAGUGACUUGCUCGUUUCACACUCACCUCAACUACCAGUCCUAAUGAUGAAACAGACACUGUUUAUUGAGCUCUUAUUAUGUCUUAGACUGUGGAAUCAGAUUCCUUGACUUAAAAUACUAGCCCUUCCACCUCCUAACUUGGAGGUGUCCCUUAAAUGCUUUGAGCUUCAGAUUUCUCACCUGGAGAAUGGGACUAAAAAGUAGUACCCGAUCCCAUAGGGAUGUUCAGAGCAGCUGAUGGAGAUAAUAAAUGGAAAGAGCAUAAAAUAGCACCUAGCAUGCAGCAAACACUCAACACAUGCUAGCUGUUGCUAUUAAUCCUCUUAACCUUCUUGGGAAGAGGGUAUAUUACCUGCAGUAUUUAGAAAUGAAGAAACAAUUUCAGGGAAUAAGGUAAUAACUGGUUCUGGAUCACACAGAGCCUGAGAAGUGGAACCAGAAUUCAUACUCGUCCCUUCUAAUGGCAAAGCUGGAUCAUGUUAAAGGGACACUUCCUUACAAAGUUCAUGAGUAUUUGGGAAGGCAAAUUCUUGCCUGUACGACUGAGCAAAUGCCUCAGGACCUAUCUCCUCAUUCAUGUGAAGUGGAUGGAAGUGGAUGAUAGUUUUCUUGUGUAACAGUUGUUAUGGUUAGGUAAGACCAUGUAGUGGAAGCAGUAAGCGUACAUGUUUUUAGCCUCCUCUCUUACUUUUCAUUGGAAGCAGAACACAGCAUAAUGGAAGAGGCAGGUUUCCUACCUGAGAGCAUGUUCUUAAAUGAAAAAUUCUUCUAGAUUAUUUCAUGUUGUAGAUCAUCUGCAUUCCCAUGAUGCUGGAGAACCAGUGGCUGAUCAUUCAGUGUUUUCUUUACCCAGACUGUCUCCUUCCUUGUUUGGAAGGACAUGAGGUGUGUGUACAGCAGUGGAUGGUACAGGGUGGUGAUGAGCAUUGGAGAAGGAUUCAGAACGCUGACACCCUAGCCUGGCUGUGCCAUCACCCACUGUGUGUGUGACUUUGUCAAUCACUGAAUGUCACUGGGAUCCCAUUUCCUCAUUUUAAAAUGUAGGCAGCAGUGUGUUAUCUGAUGUCCUCACAUGGUUAUCGUUAAGGACACACAAGCAAUGAAGGAAAAGUAGAAUCAAGCUGAGUAACGUGCUUAUAAAAACCCAGAGAUUUUUAUUGAUGUCAGACUCAACUUGAUUGCUCUUUUUGGGUACUUCCCUGCUUGUCACUGGAGAAGGCAAUGGCAACCCACUCCAGUACUCUUGCUUAGAAAAUACCAUGGAUGGAGGAGCCUGGUGGGCUGCAGUCCAUGGGGUCGCUAAGAGUCAGACAUGACUGAGCGACUUCACUUUCACUUUUCACUUUCAUGCAUUGGAGAAGGAAAUGGCAACCCACUCCAGUGUUCUUGCCUGGAGAAUCCCAGGGAUGGGGGAGCCUGGUGGGCUGCUGUCUAUGGGGUCACACAGAGUCAGACAUGACUGAAGCGACUUAGCAGCAGCAGCAGCAGCUGCUUGUCACUAAGAAGGCACCUUGGAGGGCUGGACUUGGCAUCUACACACCACAGUUCAAAACUUAGCUCUAGGACCUUUGCAUGUCCCAUCAGGUCUCUGGAUUUAUAUCUCCUUUUCUGUGAAACUGGAACCAUUACCCCUGUCCUGCCUACUGAAAGAUUUGUCAUGAUGAUCAGCACCACAGUACAGAGAGAGAGAGAGCCUGUUGAACAGAAGUUUCAUAAUACUACAAGUUUCAGUUGAUCAGGUAAUGAACUCUGGUUCUCCGCAGCAGGCUACCAAAUGUUGAGAAAAUGAAAGCUCUCAGGAGGAAUUGUCAUCCUAGCAUGAUGUUUAGCUAAAAAGUAUCACAACCAGGAGGCUGACACCCUGACAUCUAGUAGCGAUUCUUUUGCUGUCAGACCAUGUGCCUUUGAUUAUAUCAUUUAAUUUAAUGUCUCAGUUUUUUCACCUCUAAAAUGGGGAUAGUAGAUCUUUCCCUGGCCACGUCACAGUCUAAACUGGAGUUUGUGUGUUAGUGGUGGUGGUGAUUUAGUCACUACGUCAUGUCCAGCUCUUGUGACCCCAUGGACUGUGGCCCACCAGGAUCCUCUGUCCAUGGGAUUUCCCAGGUAAGAAUACUGGAGUGGAUUGCCAUUUCCUACUCUAGGGGAUCUUCCUGACCCAGGGAUCAAACCCAUGUCUCCUGCAUUGCAGGUUGUCUCCUGCAGUGCAGGUGAGCAUACUGGUGAUGACCUAUGAAGUAUUAAAGCUGACAGUUUAAGUUUCAUGUACUAUUACUGCAUCCUCACAGUGAAUAGUAACGGGAAGAAACUCUUCCAGGUAUGUGAACAAUAAUUUGUAAUUUUAAAGACUUUUCCCAUGCAUUAUCCUACUGAGUCCUCAUAACAAAUGCUGAGAUGGAUUAGAUGACAUGAAUUAUCCCUGUAAUGAGUUGAAUUGUGUCCCUGCAGAAGAUAUGUUGAAGUUCUAACCAGCAGCACCUCAGAGUGUGAACUUCUUUGGAAAUAGGAUUGUUGCAGAUGUAAUUAAUUAAGAUGAGCUCAUACCAUAGUGGGUGGGUCCUUAAUCCAUGAAUGGUGUCCUUACAAAAAGAGGAAAAAGAAAACACAGAGAUAAUGCCAUGUAAAAACAGAGCCAGAGAUUGGAGUGAUGCAGCUAUAAGCCAAGCCAAGAAAUAGCCAGAUCUGACAGCCGCCACCAGAAGCUAGGAAGAGGCAAGGACAAAUUCUCCCCUGCAGACUUCAGUGAGAACAUGGACAUACUGUCAUCCUCAUAUUGGACUUCUCUUUUCCAGAAUUGAGAGAGAAUACAUUUCUGUCAUUUUGAACCACCUAGUUUGUUGUGCUUUGUUAUGGAAGCCUUGGAAAACUAGUAUAGCCCCAUAUUGCUGAUUAGUACUCUGAGAUUCAAAAAAAAUCUGAACAGCAUGUAUCUGCCAAGUGCCUGCUAAGUGCCAGGUAAUCUUUUAGGCCCUGGUUGUAUAGUUCUAAACAAAACAAAGUUAAAAUUAUGCUCUAGGAUGCAUAGCUUGUAAAAGGUAAAUACUAUGAUGAGACCCAAGUUUCCAGGCUUCCAGAUUAGUGUUUCUCUUUUGGUUUGUUUCAAUUAUAUUCUCCAAAGUAAAGAGUGACUAUAAUACUGGCAAUGCUUAUACUGCCUGUGAAUGUGCCUGGGCAUUUUACUUGUUCUCUAGGGAGCUUAAGGUUGCCUCUUUACUAGCAAACCUAUACUUCCUAAGAACACAUUACAUGUAUUACUGCAAUCCUUUCUAGCCCUGAGGCUGGAUACUUUUCGUUUUUACUUGGCUCUGAAUUUGAAAAUAAUCUGAUGAAAGAAUAGCUGCUUAUGAUUGAGUAUUUCUGAAGAGAGGAAGUAUUUCUGAAGAGAAAGGGGAAUUCCAGAUUACCACAACAUUUCUGGUUGUGGAAUUGGGUUUUUAAAACUCUGUGAAUGGUUGAGAGUCACUGGUUAAAGGACUUGUGCAGAAAAGUUGCUCUGGGGCACCUGAACUCCAUAUUUACUUAUAGGGAGGAACAGAAGGAAACGGAUUGGACCUGACUAUAGCCCUGCUGCACAGAGAACAAAAUCUUCAGCUCCUCAGCUCCCUGGUGAUAGGGCUAAGGGACUUGGUGCUUUCAUCACUUAAGGGAAAGAAAAGGUAAAAUAAGUGUGUAUGGGAACCUUACUCUUUAAGUAAAACCAACCAUGGCAAUAGCCUUGAAAGACUCUUUUCAAGACCUUGUUUCCCUCCCACCUUGACAGUUUAAUGGGGUCGGCAGCUUGAGCUUCAUUGUAAUGGAAACCAGCAGACAGUCUCCAAAAGUAUGAAAGGCUACAAUGGAGGCCCAGCAGCCUUUGUGUCUAAAAGUAUCAGCUCCGUCCUCAGCAAAUGGCAAUGUUGCCUGACAGGCAAUUACUGCUGUUCCUAAUUGCUUCCAUCAAACCCGGCUGUUCAAAAUACCUAGAGCCCCAUACCAAGUCAUGCCUCAGCCAACACUGUUUUUUUGGCUUUGGUUAAUGCUUUAUUUUUGGCAUACUGGUUUCUGUUUGGCAAUCAAGUUUAUUCUGACCUGUUAAACUUUCCAAAGACCCUCUCUGAUCAAAGCCAGGAGACAUUUAGGUUCUGUCUUAAGUUGAAGGCUGGCAAAGCAAAGUGUCUCCUGUUCAACUUGUCAGUACAAGGGGGAGAAGAUGAAAAUUUGACUUAGGACUCUGCCCACAGAUAUACAGUUCAUGGUAGACCUGCCUGAUGGUGGCAUUUUGUUGAACAUGUAGAAAUCAAUAUUUGUGUGGGAAACUCUGAGCACCCGUGAGAAAGGAUGAAUAAGUUUACAUUUUGAAGUGUGUUAGUUCUGAUAGCUUGCUAUAUAGGAAGCAUAAUUCUUAACCUAAAAGGUUUCCAACAUGAUGAAAUUAGAAUUCUUGAUAGUCCUCUCCACCUAAGAAAGUGUAGUAACUUACUUGGUAAGUAAGUAACAUCCCCAGCUAAGUAAAGGCCACAACCACACAGAGAACUAGGCAUUCUCUUUUGAGGUUUCCAUGUUUCUCAUCCCUUUUUACUUUGAGUCUUUUCUCCAUCCCAUUCCUGAACAUUUAGGAGGAGAAAACUCAAAUUCAGAAAGAUACCGGUACGUGUGUGUUUGUGUGCGUGUGUGUGUGUGCGUGUGUGUGCGCGCGCGCGCGCGUGCACGUGCACUCAGUUGCUUUAGUCAUGUCUGACUCUUUGCACCCUAUGGACUGGAGCCCACCAGGCUCUUCUGUCCAUGGGAUUCUCCAGGCAAGAAUACUGGAGUAGGUUGCCAAGACCUCCUCCAGGGGAUAUUCCUG